ACAAAGAUGGUACUGGAAUUGAUGCAAAGUUGCAGCAUCCUCUUGGUGUUGCCAUGGUAACUGAUUCGGGUUCUAUUUUGGUGGCUGAUUCUUACAACCACAAGCUGAAGCUAGUGGACAUCAGUAAGAAGCAGUGUACCACUGUGUGGGGGACGGAUGGGGAGGUCAAACUGAAUGAGCCCGGGGGUCUGAGUGUGGACAGCAAACAGGGCCUGGCCUACAUAGCAGACACCAAUAACCACAACAUCAGGAUACUGAGGAUCCAAGACAAAGUGAUGUCUCAGCUGCCAGUUAUCUUCCCCAGUGACACAGUAGAUAGUCUGACUAUAAAGUUGUCGGACAUCUUGAAACCAGGAAAAGAACCAGAGAAAAACGAGACCAUCAGUGUUGCCCCUGGAUCAGAGGUCAAGGUUAACCUCCUUCUGAGUUUACCAGUUGGAGGUCAUGUUAAUGAUGAAGCCCCAAGCAAAUGGACCGCUGUUAUGCAAGGUAACAUGGGCAUUUUAGAAUGAAGUUUUGAACAUAGUCCUCUUGUGAUGGAGCGGGAAAUCCCCUCUUUUCUCAGACAGGAACAAUUCAAGAAAACUCUCCUCAGCAUCUCUUUUCUUGGAAGAUGCCAGAUUUGUCUUCCAGUGGAAGAUUAUUUUUGUACUUAAAGGCCAAAGUGUUUUAUUGUGAUGAAAGCAAAGCCUGUAAGAUGAAGGAGAAAGUUUUUAUGCAGGAGUUGAAUUUUGAAAGCAGUGGUGCUAGUAAAGAAGUGCAAUUUAAAUUCCCAGUUUGAUUAUGCGUUGCUGAAAAUAUAAGGAUUGAAUAUUUUUUUACAAUUGUUCAUUUACUUUUUAAAAAAAAAAUGUAUUUUUAAACAAUUUAGUUAUGGUGCAAUAUGUAUUUAUACAUUAAUGCAAAAUUCUUAAGAAAUAUAAGUUUUACAAUUUUACAUUUAGUUAUUAUGUUGAGAUUAAAAGGAUGCUUCUUGAAACACAAUG
rnacentral:misc_RNA from 1 species